AUGAACGCGCCGGAUGCUGUUAAUGUAUCACCCGAUGUACGGAACAGAACAGUUCAAUGGGCAAAAACUGUGUUAUAUUACGGGCAUAUUAAACAAGCAUAACAUAAUAAAUAAUUUGCAAAUACUUUUGAUAGAAGUACGAUAAUUGUCUACAAUAUGACUGAGGUUUUCAAUUUUAAGUCGUCCGUCCUGUGACUGUACAGUAAAGCGACGCUUACAGGAUUUCUACUGGAUUUUAUUAUACGAGUUUUAGAGGCCGAUUUUAUAAGCAACCCGCCGAGCACGUGGUGUGACGGGUACAUGACAUGUCGACAAAGCAAGCAGACCAUGUUGAGCUGGGGGAUGUGGAAGGUUGGAACAACGGACCUGAAGAUACAAUAUCCCGUUUGGCUCUACGGGUUCGAAACAGAUUCUUCAUUCUCGACCAAUUACAAAGCUACAUGGCCGCCUCAAUUCGUUGUGUUAGAGGCACACUAUUAGAUGAGGACUUGAACAAGUUCAUUUGAGCAGACACACGCAAUUUGUCAGAAUCAUACAAGUGGAUCACAUGUGCUGUCAGUGACGGACACAAAUUUGGAAAAGUUUAGUAUAAGCUCGGAUAUUAUAAAUAUGACGUUUUGGAUCAAAAGUGUUGAAGUAGGAACAUUUCUAAACUCGGAAGACCUCAUAGUUCAUUGUUUUGUGCUCGACCAACAUGGCGAGGUACGAAAAGACAACUGUACCAAAAGCUAUUCGUCUGUCUGCGUAAACGCAACUGUUCACAACGCUAUACAAUACAGAGGACGAGAGUCGCGGGUGCCAAAUAACGAUCCGACGUCAUCUAGCACACCCGUGACAUCAUCAGCGGUCACUUCAGAGUUUUUUUACGUCACUUGUUAUGUCGGAAACUAACGGGGGCGUUGAUUUAACCAAAAGUGCAGCAAAUACCCCGUUUGAUUUGAACGAUUCAACCAGCGACCCUAAAAGUAGAUAGCUCGCUUUGUGCGGAUUUAGUCAUACAUACCCCGUCCCAAUACCUAACUCUUUCCACAAUUACAAGUUUCACAAUUAAUUA